CACACGACUCUCGGCAACGGAUAUCUCGGCUCUCGCAUCGAUGAAGAACGUAGCGAAAUGCGAUACCUGGUGUGAAUUGCAGAAUCCCGCGAACCAUCGAGUCUUUGAACGCAAGUUGCGCCCGAGGCCCUCGGGCCGAGGGCACGCCUGCCUGGGCGUCACGC
rnacentral:rRNA from 14 species